rnacentral:rRNA from 1 species
UGGGGAAUAUUGGACAAUGGGGGCAACCCUGAUCCAGCAAUGCCGCGUGUGUGAAGAAGGUCUUCGGAUUGUAAAGCACUUUCGACGGGGACGAUGAUGACGGUACCCGUAGAAGAAGCCCCGGCUAACUUCGUGCCAGCAGCCGCGGUAAUACGAAGGGGGCUAGCGUUGCUCGGAAUGACUGGGCGUAAAGGGCGUGUAGGCGGUUUACACAGUCAGAUGUGAAAUCCCCGGGCUUAACCUGGGAGCUGCAUUUGAUACGUGUAGACUAGAGUGUGAGAGAGGGUUUGUGGAAUUCCCAGUGUAGAGGUG